rnacentral:ncRNA from 1 species
AUUCAUGAUAGAGGUGUGCCUGACAAGAGUAGGCAUGGGGAGGUUUUAGAGAAGCCUGAAAUCCAUGUUGAAAGGGGAGGGCACCGAAGGGUGAAUUGACUCUACAAUUCAUGCCUGGUUCCAGGGUUAAGAGCUCUGUGACUGUCACCAAAACCUGGUGGAGUGCUAUCUUGUUU